rnacentral:snoRNA from 1 species
GCUAUAUGAUGAGGAAAAUUGGUCCGUGUUUCGGAGGCAGCCUCAAGACCUGCUAUUUGACGAC